CCUACGGGUGGCAGCAGUGAGGAAUAUUGGUCAAUGGGCGAGAGCCUGAACCAGCCAAGUAGCGUGAAGGAUGACUGCCCUAUGGGUUGUAAACUUCUUUUAUAUGGGAAUAAAGUGCAGUAUGUAUACUGCUUUGCAUGUACCUUAUGAAUAAGGAUCGGCUAACUCCGUGCCAGCAGCCGCGGUAAUACGGAGGAUCCGAGCGUUAUCCGGAUUUAUUGGGUUUAAAGGGAGCGUAGGCGGGUUGUUAAGUCAGUUGUGAAAGUUUGCGGCUCAACCGUAAAAUUGCAGUUGAUACUGGGAUCCUUGAGUACCGUAGAGGGAGGCGGAAUUCGGGGGGUAGCGGUGGAAUGCUUAGAUAUCACGCAGAACUCCGAUUGCGAAGGCAGCCUGCUGGACUGUAACUGACGCUGAUGCUCGGAAGUGUGGGUAUCAAACAGGAUUAG
rnacentral:rRNA from 1 species